ACGGGUGAGUAAUACAUCGGAACGUGCCCAGUAGUGGGGGAUAGCCCGGCGAAAGCCGGAUUAAUACCGCAUACGACCUACGGGUGAAAGCGGGGGAUCGCAAGACCUCGCGCUAUUGGAGCGGCCGAUGUCAGAUUAGCUAGUUGGUGGGGUAAAAGCCUACCAAGGCGACGAUCUGUAGCUGGUCUGAGAGGACGACCAGCCACACUGGGACUGAGACACGGCCCAGACUCCUACGGGAGGCAGCAGUGGGGAAUUUUGGACAAUGGGCGCAAGCCUGAUCCAGCCAUGCCGCGUGUGGGAAGAAGGCCUUCGGGUUGUAAACCACUUUUGUCAGGGAAGAAACGGUCUGAUCUAAUAAAUCGGACUAAUGACGGUACCUGAAGAAUAAGCACCGGCUAACUACGUGCCAGCAGCCGCGGUAAUACGUAGGGUGCAAGCGUUAAUCGGAAUUACUGGGCGUAAAGCGUGCGCAGGCGGCUAUGCAAGACAGAUGUGAAAUCCCCGGGCUCAACCUGGGAACUGCAUUUGUGACUGCAUGGCUAGAGUACGGUAGAGGGGGAUGGAAUUCCGCGUGUAGCAGUGA
rnacentral:rRNA from 1 species